GAAAAGGUAGCUCUUAACCUCAGCAAUUUACUGCAGAGUCUGGAAACACAAUUUAAUUUUACUGCCAGCUCUUUGGUCUAAUUUUUAAUCUUUCAGUCUCAUUAUUUUAAAGUUUUGGGGGAUUUAUUUGUUUACUGCUAAAAAGAGGCUCUAAUCUUAUGACCUCACUAUGUGUAGAAUGUUAGCUUGGUCCUAUUUUCUCUUAACUGCCAACCGAGAAAUGUCAUCUGUUAUGUGUGUUUUGAUAUGCUUCCAAGAGACAGAGCUAUAGAGUCCCAGAUAUAAACAGCUGAUGACUACUGGAACAAGAACGGGAGAGGGAAGACGGGAAACUGAUACUCUGAAAGUCAGUGCCAUCUCUCAAAGGCAUAUUCACAUGUGUGAGAAGAGAGAGCGCAAGGAAGAGAUCAACUACAUAUUCAUAAGAAUGAGGGGGAAAAUGGAUUCGAUCUUUCAGUUAAUUUGUCCAUUAAAAGCAAGGGUACUUCUUGCAGCAUCAGAAAAACAAAGAAAUAGAGAACACAUGUACCAAAAAUAUUAAACAAUCUUCCAAAGCA